UGAAACGGAGAAAACCACGCCCCUCGAUUACGUCAGAGAGUAUAUCACUUUCCAUUGGCUGUAGUAGGGAUUGAUUGACGUCAUCCCGCCAGAAAAAGGAAGAAUAAAAAAGAAAAAACAAAAUAACAAAAAAAGAGGUGAAUCCCAACAGCGAAGCUACUACGCCACAGCUGAAGAUCCCAAAGUGCAUUGAUUUCCACGAGGUAUCCAUGAGGCUUGGAUCGAUAUAUAACGGUUGGUAUAGUCUACUACAACACCAUAAGUCGUGAAACUGUAGUGUGUUGGGUGUUGGCGAAUGUCACGAGGUGCAAAAUGAAGACGAAAGUGGUGACGACGAGACUCUGAACAUGGUAGGUAGUUAAGCCUAACUUGUAUCGUGUAUCGUAAUGACGUUUUAAAUAACAUAUUAUCCUUAUAACUCUCGAGUUAUUACUAUUGGAAUCAUUUUUACGUGAAUCGGAAGAGUUAAAAAGACUUCACUUUUAAACGAGUUGUGUGCAUGUGUGGGUCGAGCCGGGUGGGCGGCGGAGCAUCAAAAAGAUGGAGCUCUUCAACUUUUACAUCUUCGGAAGUCUUCGUGGUCCACAUGUUCUGCUUCAUUGGCUUCUUACCUCCUACUGAACUUAAUAACAUGCUUCGUUCGUGGUUUUCAUUGUUAUGUAUGCUUAUUUACCAACACUGCUUACGUUUUAUCACAAUUAUAAGAAUUUUGCUCUGCACAAUCAAUAUCGUUUUGAUUUGAUGUGAUGUACACAUGUUCCCAUAAUCACAAACACAUGAUUGUUAUUAUGAUUAUGAUGCAUCUCAUAUAUCGGUUAUUUAAUUUAAUAAUAAUUAUGAUCUUGUACUUGGAACUGUGUUUGAUUUAUAAGUCAUCGACAGGAACCCAUUAGUAACCAUAAUGUUAGUGGACAAAUUCUUACUACCGGUAAUUAUGAUUGAUGCUGUAAAAAGAUGUUGCUUGAUUGAAAACUAUUUAAGUCGUAUUGAGUAAUUUAGAUUUUAAAAUGAUAGUUUGGCUAAGUAGAUUUUCUUAAAAAGAAAGCAUUUCAGUGACAUCAAAAUCAUUGAUAAAUAACUUAGACUAUUUAUUUCGGG
rnacentral:lncRNA from 1 species